GGUAACGUAGCUUAGCAGGUAGAGCGUCAACUUCAUAAGUUGAAAAGCACUGGUUCGAUUCCAGUCGUUACCA
rnacentral:tRNA from 1 species